CGCAUCUGUGCAUGCAGCAUAUCAAUAAGCGGAGGAAAAGAAACUAACAAGGAUUCCCCUAGUAACGGCGAGUGAAGCGGGAAGAGCUCAAAUUUGAAAUCUUAAAGGGUUUCCCUUUACGAAUUGUAGUUUAAAGAAGUGUUUUCUGUUGAGGUUUUGGUAAAAGUUCUUUGGAAUAGGACAUCAUAGAGGGUGAGAAUCCCGUAUUUGACCUUUACUUUCAACUUUGUGAUACACUUUCAAAGAGUCGGAUUGUUUGGGAAUGCAGUCCAAAAUGGGUGGUAAAUUUCAUCUAAAGCUAAAUAUUGGCGAGAGACCGAUAGCGAACAAGCUACCGUGAGGGAAAGAUGAAAAGAACUUUGAAAGGAGAGUUAAACAGUACGUGAAAUUGUCAAAAGGGAAGCGUUUGACACCAGUGUUGUUUUUCUGAAAAUCAAUUAAAGAACUGUUUAUGCUAAGCUGUUUAGACUUUAUCAGCUAUCUGUUAGUUUUGAGCUUUUCUUUAAUGCACUUUUCAGUUAACAAGUCAACAUCAAUUUCUUUUGCUGUAAAAAAGCUUGAGGAAGGUGGCUUGAGAUUCGUCUUAAGUGUUUAUAGCCUCUUGCCUAUGCAGUCGGAGAGGAUUGAGGUCUGCAGCGUAGAUCCUUCGGGGCUAAAUGCAUUUGUGCUAAGUUAUAGCAUUUUAUAGACAACUUGUUGACUAUGAUUUGUCUUGUAGCUUACUCGCUUAUGUUAUUUUACCUACGCUUAGGAUGUUGAAUCUGUGCGAGACUAC
rnacentral:rRNA from 1 species